rnacentral:tRNA from 1 species
GGGUCUGUAGCUCAGUUGGUUAGAGCACACGCUUGAUGGCGGCGUGGGGUCACAAGUUCAGAAUCUUGUCAGACCCA